UCUCCGUCCCUGGGUCUCGCCCUUCGGCCCCCAUCUCACCCUUUCCAGCUGAUGUGGUUGAUGUGAAUUUUGUCCUCUGCUUCUUCAGGCCGGAAAGACUGCAGCUCUCCUCUCUGUGCUGUGCUGACCAUGGCCUGCUCUCAAGAUCGAAGCCAUAAAAAGGUAGGAAACAGAGACUCAGAGAGGUUAAGCAGCUUGUCCAAGGGCGCACAGCCAGGAAGCAGCAGAUCUGGGAUUCCAGCGCCUGUUCUCCUGCCUCUUCACCACGUGGCUCUGGCCCUCCCACUGGCCUCUCUGGAACGGCAGACAGCACAGGGCCCUCUGCCCUCCCUUGACCUUCCAUCACUGUACCCCCCAAGGAUCCGCCACCGACUGGGGCCUCACAGGUCAUCGUCAGCGCCACCAGGCUGCCGCCAUUGUAUCCUUACAGCUGCAGUGUGCAGCAUUUGUCAGGGCGAACUGGAUUCUGACAUCUACCUUGGUAGGAGUCUGCGCUGGCAUCGAGACAGAGGCGGUGCGGGGAAGGACAGCAGCCCCUCCGUGGGCCUGCCCCAAGCACG